rnacentral:sRNA from 1 species
AAUCUUCGGUCUCGUAUACAACUUGCGGUGUAUGCCGCAAUUCCACUAUAUUGUUGGAUCACCCAAGACCUUCUUGGGACUGCAAGUCUAUGUAUAUAGCUUGCAGUACUUCCACCUAUGCAACUGCUAAUUGGUUAAUUUAACAAUAACUGAAUGAGGGACUGGCUUAGAGCCAAGACCUCACAAACCCAAGACAACUCUCAACAACGGAUAUCUUGGCUCUCAGAUCGAUGAAGAACGCAGCGAAAUGCGAUACGUAGUGUGAAUUGCAGAAAUACGUGAAUCAUCGAAUCUUUGAACGCAAAUUGCGCUCGAGGCUUCGGCCAAGAGCAUGUCUGCCUCAGCGUCGGGUAUACCCUCACACCCCCACUUUCAUGUGUGAUGUGUGGAUCUGGCUGUCUCAGUACAUCAUGCUACGUGAACGUCUUGUAUGAUGCAUAGCAACAUGCAUAGCAUCAUGCAACAACAUUUGCGGUACAUGAAUGGCGCUGGGUUGGCUGAAGUACAGCUGCUGUACCAUGGACCAUACAACAGGUCUCUACUAGGUAGGCAAUAACUUGCUACACUUUAGUAGAAGACUUGGGUGCUGUGUACGGCACAAAGCAGGAAUGCUUCUUUUGCAAGCAUGUCAAACUCAUAUCCUCGACCUGAGCUCAGGCAAGA